AUUCUGUUACUAUGAAAGAGAAUUAUUUUUGUCGUACGGCAGGUUCCAAAAUUUUUGACCUGAAGACGUAGCAAGGAUAGUAACAAAAUGUGUGCAACGCACACGAGGAGGACAAUAGUAAUGGAAAAAGGUAAAGUGAAAUGGUUUAAUGCAGAAAAAGGUUUCGGAUUCAUCGAGCGCGAAGGUGGAGACGAUGUAUUCGUUCACUUCUCAGCUAUCCAAAGCGAAGGCUUCAAGUCUUUAGACGAAGGUCAAGAAGUAACUUUUGACGUUGAGCAAGGCCAGCGUGGACCACAAGCUUCCAACGUUCGCAAAGCUUAAUUAAACCUAACAGCAGAAAGGCUCUCUUAUUGAGGGCCUUUUUUAU
rnacentral:other from 1 species